GCAGUAUCUCGUUUGGCGAGGCUCCUAUACAAACACAGGUUACUGAUCUGACGACAUCGAGAGAUGCCCAAGGUUAAGACAGGCUUUAUCGGAUUAAGGUUCAGCCCAAGGUAACUUCUGAUGAAUAGCAUCAGAUACGUUGUAUAGUGCUAAAACCUGGACGCGGAGAUAGGCU
rnacentral:sRNA from 1 species